rnacentral:rRNA from 1 species
CGGCGGACGGGUGAGUACACGUGGAUAACCUACCUAUAAGACUGGGAUAACUUCGGGAAACCGGAGCUAAUACCGGAUAAUAUAUUGAACCGCAUGGUUCAAUAGUGAAAGACGGUUUUGCUGUCACUUAUAGAUGGAUCCGCGCCGCAUUAGCUAGUUGGUAAGGUAACGGCUUACCAAGGCAACGAUGCGUAGCCGACCUGAGAGGGUGAUCGGCCACACUGGAACUGAGACACGGUCCAGACUCCUACGGGAGGCAGCAGUAGGGAAUCUUCCGCAAUGGGCGAAAGCCUGACGGAGCAACGCCGCGUGAGUGAUGAAGGUCUUCGGAUCGUAAAACUCUGUUAUUAGGGAAGAACAAAUGUGUAAGUAACUAUGCACGUCUUGACGGUACCUAAUCAGA